AAUGAGCCUGUCAUGCGAGCAAAAAUUUCAGAUUGAAGAAAAGCGAGGCUUUGCCAUUUAUGUUCAUACCCAGUGGCCAUUCAAGCAUGGCCUUUGAAGGUGGAGCUGAAAUGGAAGAUUUCAGUGGCUACUUAUCUGGUUGAUCACUUGGUGUCAUGGGAUUUAGACAGAGAAAUAGGUGUACAAAUGGGAAGAACCCCAUUUGAAAAGUUCUGUUUGUACCAUCUAUUUGCAGUUAAUAGUAUAUUUAUCUAUAGAAAGGAACUCUAGACUGGUUGUGAACACUUGCAUCUCCACGUUAUUGUAUAUACACAAUAUACAAUGAAGAAAUGGUUGAAGUAAUGGGUCGAUCAAUCCGUUAUUUCAACAGAGAUAAAUUCCAUGUUCUCUCACUCUUUAGCCUCUGUCGAGUUUAGUUAAAAGAGUUGAUAAAAACUUAAAUCAAAGUCGAUAAUUAAUUUUUGCAAUACAAUUUUAUCGAUUUUAAUUAAAAAUAUAUUAAAAAUAUUUGUAUCUGGUGCUAAUGAUUGACAACUUCUAUGAGAUUUUGAGAUGAAUGUCUCUUCUUAAGGAAUGGUUUUCUUAACAUUUUGGUUAUUGCGGGUGUCACAAGGUCAAGUACAUAGAUUAGGUGUACUUUUGAAUAAAUUACGAUGGGCGGAUAAGUUCGAACUUCUAGAAACAUUUGACCCUAUGCACAAGAACAAUGUAUUUAAUCAUAAUUAAUUUCUAUUUUACAAGAAAAGAAUUAUUUGAUCAAUUACCAACUACACCAAUUAAAUAUAUUUCUUUUCAAUAAUCACAACCCAUCUCUACUUUGUUGAUAGCUGAAAUCACGAGAUGCAAACCUUG
rnacentral:lncRNA from 1 species